CACAUUUACAGGAAGUAUGGUAAUACAUUCUUGUCAGCUGUCUGGGCAAAUCUUCUCUCGCAGAAUUGGAUUAAAAUUUAAUGUAUUUUAUUUCUCACUUCCAACGAUGUCGCAAUUAUUAGGCAGCUAUCAAGUCUCAAGAUAUGACAUAAUUUGAUAGAAUGUUAGUACCAACGCUAUCAGUGCAUUGAAGUCGAGUUCUCGAUACAGGGAGCUGCUGGUAAACUACCGUCGCUAUACAUCGACUAUGACUACAAUCCUACUUUUAAAAACAAACUACAUACAUAUCUCACAUUUGCGAGGACUACUUCAUCACAAGCAAAAAAUCGACAUUGGUAAAUAAAGGUCUGUCUUCUAUAACCACGAUGAAAAGAAAAGCUGGGCGAAAACAUUUGAGACUGCAGAUUGCAGAACUGGAACACUCUAUUUGAAGACAGUGGCUGCUGAGUGCUGAGCUGCAUCAAAUCUAUCAGCAUCAUGUAACUUCGAUCAGGAACAGACUCCAUUUCAUUUCCGACAACUAGCACCUGUUUUCCCUAGACUUACCAAGUAUUAAGUAACUGCAUUAGUAUUAGGUUAAAUUAAAGGCCCUACAUCGAACAAGUCUAACAAUUAAAACUUAAAUGCAAGAGUGCACAAUUUAUCACUAAAUAUCUUCCUCUUUUAAUUCUAAUCAACACACGGUUUCGUCUUUGUUUCACCCAAUCGUGCUGAUAAUCAGUAAUCAUGCACUCUGCACUCUAACUUCGAGAUGUUUCAAAAGGGCUCCCGACGAGUUGAAUUAGAUCAAUAUUUUCUUUUGAUACAUAGAUACUGAUUGGGAGGUUCAUCAUACUAUUCUUGUCACAUGGUAACGAUUAACGAUUAGCUGAUCAGCUUCCAGCAUCGACAGGCCGAAAUCCAUAAAUAUAAUCAGUUGUAAUUUAAUAUUUAUCAUCGUCCGGAUCAUCAUAAUAUUUUAAUUUAAAGUUACAAUUGAACGGUGUUAAGAAAGAUAAUUUAAGAGAAAUGUUUUGA